UAGGAUUGGGUGUGAUUGGUAGCGCAAGGGAUUUUGAAUCCUUAGGAGUAGGUUCAAUUCCUACAAUUCUA
rnacentral:tRNA from 1 species